GCGGAUGUGGCGGAACUGGUAGACGCGCUAGAUUUAGGUUCUAGUGUCGAGAGACGUGGGGGUUCGAUUCCCUCCAUCCGCACCA
rnacentral:tRNA from 1 species